rnacentral:tRNA from 1 species
GCCGCGUUCGUCUAGAGGCCUAGGACGUCGCCCUUUCACGGCGGUAGCACGGGUUCGAAUCCCGUACGCGGUACAA